CUUUUUGUUUUUCUUUUUUUUGAGAUGAAGUUUUACUCUUGUUGCCCAGGCUGGAGUGCAAUGGCACGAUCUUGGCUCACUGCAACCUCUGCCUCCUGGGUUCAAACAGUUCUCCUGUCUCAGCCUCCUGAGUAACUGGGAUGACUGGCACAUGCCACCACGCCCAGCUAAUUUUUGUAUUUUUAAUAGAGACGAGGUUUCAUCAUGUUGGCCUGGCUGGUCUCAAACUUCUGACCACAGGAGAUCCACCUGCCUCGGCCUCCCAAAGUGCUGGGAUUACAGGCGUGAGCCGCUGCGUCCGGUGCCUUCUACUUUCUGUCUCUAUGAUUCUGCCUACUCUAGGUGCUUCAUCAAAGUGGAAUCAUACAGUGUUUGUCUUUGGUGACUGGCUCUUUUGCAGAAUGUCCCCAAGGUUCAUCCAUGUUGUAGCAGGUGUCCGCCCUUCAUUCCUUGUUAAAGCUGAAUAAUCCUCCAUUACUUGGAUGCACCAUUUUCUUUCUUCAUUCAUUCAUUGAUGGACACGUGGGUUGCUUCCACCUUUUGGCUAUUGUCAAUAAUGCUGCAGCGAUUCCCAGGCUGGCUGAGUAAUUGGUAGUCUACAAAGCUGCUUGGCACAGCGUCCCCAACCUAUAGGGAGUAGUUGUGGGUUCAAAGAAAACCCACAAGACUUUAGAGCCAAAAUACAUCUGGUUUCCAAUGUUUGACUGGCCAGCUGCAACUUUAGGCAAAUUUAAUCCUUCUGAGCCUCACGCUGCUCGUCACCAAAAUGGGAAUUACAGUAGACAGCACUGGUCUCUGUCCCAGCAUCCACACUACCUCCUACAUCCUAAGCGAAUUCUGAUUUCUUUUUUCAACUUUCUUCCACGCCCAGGUGAUCUCAAGGGGCUGAGACAUUCAUAGUUCCAGGGAUGGGGCAAGUCCCGCCCCCUUACCAAUGAUUGGUUCAGACACUCAGGCUUCAGCUAAUCGGUUUCUAGCAGUGCCUUAGCAACUGUUGCUAGUGUUAGGCCCUUGAUCUGAGUGGCCCAAUCAGGUAGAGGAUGGGCUUUUAUUCCAAGUUGGAGAAAUGACGCUCCUCGGAGCUAGGAAAUGAACAAGAGUUUCUGCAGCUGCUGAUGCUGCCGCCAUCCCGCAACAACGAGGGAAGGAGCAUGAGAACAAAGCCCAGGCACAGAAGAAAGGCAGCCGUAAAAGUGUCAGAAAAACGGAGCCGGAGCCUGAUUAUCCUCCUCAUCUUGGUACACAUUCACACUCACACACUCCCUAUGUCUGCGGACUGAGAGUCAGAAUAUUCAAGCAAAACAGAUCUCCUUAAAUGGCAGUGACCUUCCCUGAAAUUUAACAGGCCCCAAAGAACUGAAUUUGCCAGUCUAAGGUCAACCAGGAAGGCUGUGUGCCUUCAAGCCCACCACUGAAAGACGCCGACCAAUUCACCUGUCUCCUGUAUGAUUCUGGGUUCACACACAUGGGUGCACAGACUCCCCCGAACACACACACACACACACACACACACACGCACCUGCACGCAUGCACACACACAAUUAGGUUCAGAAAUUAAACCUCAAAGUAAUAGUAGGCCUCAAUUAUCCUACAUAGCUGUGAAACAGAUAGCCUGUUAGCUAGUCACUGGAGUACUGCUUGAAAUAGAGAUUUAUUACAGAAAAAGCAGCACAUACAAAAGUUUCUAUGAUCAGUAUUACGGCUGAUUGUGAAAUAAGACAUCAUUGGAAGUGCACCAAAAAUGAAUAAUGCAGGGACUGAACAGAGAAGCUGAGUGAAGACAAGCCAGAUAAAGAAGGAACACAUAUUUUUUCAGCCCACAGCUUCACCCAUUUUCAGCGAAGCAAGGAUUUCCCUUAGGGUGAAGGGAGAAUCCUAGGUCUUUCUAUUCCAUUUCCGGGCAUGACCAGACACCAAAAUCAUGACAGAGUAAGCUUGAAAAGAAAGACUUCAUGAAGACUGCUGGUCAAGACACAACCGGGGAACAGAAACAUCUCAGCAUGUACAGGAGAAGGAAUUUAAUCCAGGAAGGAGAUUGUGGCUGGUGGAGGGUCAGAACAGCCACUGCAGUGUCAAACCACACACAGUGAAUUAUUCAUUCAGAUCUCAUGACAAGGAAACUUGGUGUCUUUGUCUACCUGGGCUGCUGUAACAAAAUAUCAUCCACUGGGCAGCCCAUGCACAACAGAGAUUUAUCUCUGACGGUUCUGGAGGCUGGGGUGUCCAAGAUCAAGGCCCUGGCCACUUCAGUGUCUGGUGAAGGUCACUUCCUGAUUCAUAGAUGGCACCUUCUCGAGAGUCCAUAUAUGCUGGAAGGGGCAAGGGGCAUCUCUGGGGCAUUUUUUAUUACUUUAUUUUUAUUUAUUUAAUUUUUUGAGAUGGAGUUUCAGUCUUAUUGCCCUGGUUGGAGUGCAAUGGCAUGGUCUCCACUCACUGCAAUCUCUGCCUCCUGGGUUCAAGCGAUUUUCCUGCCUCCGCCUCCCAAGUAGCUGGGAUUACAGGCGCCCGCCACCAUGCCCAGCUCAUUUCUGGAUUUUUAGUAGAGACGGGGUUUAAUCAUGUUGGUCAGACUGGUCUAAAACUCCUGACCUCAGGUGAUCCGCCCACAUUGGCUUCCCAAAGUGCUGGGAUUACAGGUGUGAGCCACCGUGCCCGGGCUUGGGGCUCUUUCAUAAGGGCACUAUUCCCACGCAUGAGGGUUCUACCUCACAAACCACUCACUUCCCGGAGACCUCACCUUUUGAUAGCAUCACAUUGUAGGUGAGAAUUUCAAUAUUCAAAUUUGAGGGAGACACACACAUUUGGACCAUAGCACACAGCUGGGUCAUAAAGCCAGGGUUCCGAGGCAAGUCUGAGGUCAUCAGCCAAGGGUGUCUGCAUCGGACAACACUCAACUCGGGAUUGGCACCCAGCCAGUGCCCUACACUAUACAAGAUGCCACUGUAGGGACAGGGAUGACCUCUGGCAAGGUGACCCUCAGUGGGCCAGAGGGGGCUUCUGAAGAGAAUUUCUCUAGCUUCUUGGUGUUUCCUGCCUGCUACUUUCAAACAAGGGUCCCAUUUUUAAUGUUUUCCCAGUAAUACCUUAUGAAUGUUAUUGCGAAGCCCGGGUCUGUACUCUACUGGGAUUUGCUGGGCUAGAUUCUCAGAGGAGCUCAACAUUGAUUGAGUUCCGCGCUCCACGUUAAAUCUUUGGAAAAUUAACUAAAGAUCUCCUAGUAAGAUGCUUGUAACUUACUACAUAAGGUGAAAUAGUGACUUUACAGUACAAAAACUACAACCCAAGUAUUACCACCAGCAGCGGGCUAAAUCAACACCGCAGGCCCCGUGAUCAAUAUAUGUGAUGAGGACAUUACAUCCUGGUGUUGUUGCCCCAAGUCUUGACGUGAAUCUGACCACAAGGACAAUUCGGACAACCUGAAAUGGUGACACAUUCUACAAAAUAAACAUCAAUGUCAUGAAAGACAAAGACUCAAGAUUUUCUGCUUAAUGGAGACUAAAGAGAUGCGACAACUGAAUGCCAGGCAUGAUCUUGGAUAUUCUUUUGGCUCAAACAGUCUUAGGACAAUUGAAAAAAUCUGAAUGAGGUCUGUAGCUAAUAGAAUUGUGUCAAUGCCA